UGGUGGAGUGAUUUGUCUGGUUUAUUCCGUUAACGAACGAGACCUCAGCCUACUAACUAGUUGCUACUAGUCCUCGUGGCUAGUAGUUUAACUUCUUAGAGGGACUUUCGGUGUGUAGCCGAAGGAAGUUUGAGGCAAUAACA
rnacentral:rRNA from 1 species